GCCGCAAUGAUAGUAAGUACAGAGACCUUCUUCACCUUUUUCUUUAAGAUGCUAGCCUUAGGAUUUAUCUUUUUGUUAGAAUCCUUCUUGCUUUUCUUCUUGGAGAUCUUAUCCAUAAGAAGAACUGGAGCCUUUUCAUCCUUGAAAUGGCUCUCUACUAUUUUAAGCAUAUUCAACAGUUCAGGUAGGCUAGUAUUUAGUUUGUUUAUAUAGAAGUUAAUGACAAACUAUGAGAAAAAAUUAGAGAAUG
rnacentral:lncRNA from 1 species